rnacentral:rRNA from 1 species
UACGUAGGGGGCAAGCGUUGUCCGGAAUCAUUGGGCGUAAAGCGCGUGUAGGCGGCUCGAUAAGUCUGCUGUGAAAGUCCAGGGCUCAACCCUGGGAUGCCGGUGGAUACUGUCGAGCUCGAGUCCGGAAGAGGCGAGUGGAAUUCCUGGUGUAGCGGUGAAAUGCGCAGAUAUCAGGAGGAACACCAAUGGCGAAGGCAGCUCGCUGGGACGUGACUGACGCUGAGACGCGAAAGCAUGGGGAGCGAACAGG